CAAAAAUUUACAUUAAAAUCAUAUAAAAGGGGAGAUAAUUCAAAAACUAAGGUAGAUAGAGUUAUGGUUCUUGGUCACUGCACUUCUCCUAGUUGCCAUCUGUUUAUAUUCUAAGUUUAAAGUAAAUCCAUUGAAUAGAUUUGGAGUUAUGCUCCGGACAAAGUUUCAGCCGGACGGACAGACGGACAGGACCAAUUACUAUAUCCCCUCCGAAAAAUU